ACCCGCUGAAUUUAAGCAUAUCACUAAGCGGAGGAAAAGAAAUUAACUAAGAUUGCCUUAGUAACGGCGAGUGAAGUGGCAAAAGCCCAAACUGGAAAUCUUCAUGCUUCGCAUGACGAAUUGUAAUCUAAAGAGUAGAAGCUCACCGGGUGGUGUCGCAGAAGUGCCUUAGAACGGGCCGCCAGAGAGGGUGACAGCCCCGUAUGUGGUGACACUGCCUAACGAGCUCUGCUUGAAGAGUCGGGUAGUUUUGAAUUGCUGCCCUAGGUGGGAGAUAGACUUCUUCUAAGGCUAAAUAUAUGUGGGAAACCGAUAGCGAACAAGUACUGUGAAGGAAAGAUGAAAAGAACUUUGAAAAGAGAGUCAAAAGACUUGAAAUCGUUGGGAAGGAAGCGGUAGAAAAUUAUUCUCUGCGGUAGCAAAGUGUUCCACACGAGUAUUGCGGUUGUAUAGUACGUCAAAGGCUUGCUAUCGUACGUGCUUGUUGGAUUGCGGAGCUCACGCAGUGAGGCAAAAUGAGGUGUUAAAUCCACAAAAGCUUCUUGGAUCUGGGACUCUGCGGAGUUCAAUCCUGGUCUGCUGGUGGGCUUAAUGCCUGAGGAUGCUCUGUGCGAUUUUGCCAAAAUGGUUUUUACCGACCCGUCUUGAAACACGGACCAAGGAGUCUAACAUAUAUGCGAGUGUGCUGGUGGAGAAACCAACACGCAUAAUGAAAGUAACAGAUGCCAAGCGCAAGCAGCAGCAUCAACCGAUGAGGUUCCUCUGGUGCCUAUUCGAGUAAGAGCAUAUCUGUUAGGACCCGAAAGAUGGUGAACUAUGCCUGAGUAGGGUGAAGCCAGGGGAAACUCUGGUGGAGGCUCGUAGCGGUUCUGACGUGCAAAUCGAUCGUCAAACUUGGGUAUAGGGGCGAAAGACUAAUCGAACCAUCUAGUAGCUGGUUCCCUCCGAAGUUUCCCUCAGGAUAGCUGGGACAAUAACGCAGUUUUAUUAGGUAAAGCGAAUGAUUAGAGGUAUCUGGGGUUCCUUACCCUGGACCUAUUCUCAAACUUUAAAUUGGUAAGAACCUUUGCCUUUCUUAAUUGAGGUGAGGGGGUCAAUGCGUGUCCCUAGUGGGCCAUUUUUGGUAAGCAGAACUGGCGAUGGGGGUUGCUCCUAACGCUGAGUUAAGGUGCCUAAAUGCAUGCUCAUCAGACACUACAAAGGGUGUUGGUUCAUUUAGACAGCAGGACGGUGGCCAUGGAAGUCGGAACCCGCUAAGGAGUGUGUAACAACUCACCUGCCGAAUGGACUAGCCCCGAAAAUUGAUGGCGCUAAAGCGUGCUACCGAUACUCGGCCAUUGCAGCGAGAGUGAGGCUGCAAUGUGUAGGAGGGCGUGAACGUUGUUGCGAAGCCUCUGGCGUGAGCCUUGGUUGAACAGCGUUUAGUGCAGAUCUUGGUGGUAGUAGCAAUUAUUCAAAUGAGAACUUUGAAGGCCGAAGUGGAGAAGGUUUCCGUGAGAACAGCAAUUGGUCACGGGUGACUCGAUCCUAAGACAUGGGGCAAUCCCUUGUUAAGUGCACCGUAUGGUGCGUAGUCGAAAGGGAAUGAGGUUAAUAUUCCUCAAGCUGGAUGUGGGUGUUGUAUGGCAACAUAAGUGAGCUCAGAAACGUCAGCAUGAGCCUCUGGAAGAGUUAUCUUUUCUUUUUAACAGGCUAGCGACCUUGAAAUUGGAUUAACCAGAGCUAAGGUGGCAUGCCUGGAAGAGCACCUUGCUUUUUGAGGUGUCAGGUGCGCUCAUGAUGACCCAUGAAAAUCUGAGUGAGACAAUUUCACACCAGGUCGUACCCACAACCGCAUCAGGUCUCCAAGGUU
rnacentral:rRNA from 1 species